rnacentral:rRNA from 1 species
UUUCCUACGGGUGGCUGCAGUGGGGAGUAUUGGACAAUGGGGGAAACCCUGAUCCAGCCAUGCCGCGUGAGUGAUGAAGGCCUUCGGGUUGUAAAGCUCUUUUAGCGGGGAAGAUAAUGACGGUACCCGCAGAAUAAGCCCCGGCUAACUUCGUGCCAGCAGCCGCGGUAAGACGAAGGGGGCUAGCGUUGUUCGGAAUUACUGGGCGUAAAGGGCGCGCAGGCGGCUCUGCAAGUCAGGCGUUAAAGACCCAGGCUCAACCUGGGGAAUGCGCUUGAUACUGCGGGGCUUGAGAUCGGAAGAGGAGAGGGGAAUUCCCAGUGUAGAGGUGAAAUUCGUAGAUAUUGGGAAGAACACCAGUGGCGAAGGCGGCUCUCUGGUCCGAUUCUGACGCUGAGGCGCGAAAGCGUGGGGAGCAAACAGGAUUAGAUACCCGUGUAGUCUA